rnacentral:lncRNA from 1 species
AAACAGAGUGUUUAUUUUGCUCACAGUAGCAGUGAGGGAUGAGGGUUGAGCUAGGUUUGCUCUGGCUGUGCUGCAGUGCCAUGUUUCCCAAGCAGGACCUGGAGACAGAAGGACACCAAGGACCUUCUUGGGCUGCCCAGGAGCCAGCCCAGUGAGCAGCUGGUGUUUCCUGGGCACUGUGCACCCUGUGCUGGGCUCUGCCAGCUGGAGUGACCGGGUGGUGCCCCAGCCCCCGGUGCCCCACGUGGCGGAGGAGAGCCCUGUGCAGCCAGCCAAGGCACCGACAGCAAAGGCCGCUGGCCCCACAGAUGCUGCUGAGCGGGCACGCACAGAGGAAACAGAAAAGAAAGUGACCUUUGUGGCUUCUGAGGACUCGAGUUCUGUGUUUGACAGUGUGGGGAGCAGUGUCCUCUCCUGGCUCUCCCAUGGGCUGGAGAAGGUGAUUCCCCAGCCAGCCCCAGCCCCAGGGCUGCAGGCACUCGGGAAGAGCUUCGAGACAAGCAUCGACGUUGCUGAUGAGGUAGGAGACAGAUCUGGAAAAUUAUUUUGUAGGUUGGAGCUUCUGCCUCUUUUUACCUUUUCUUUUUCUCUUCUUAUCACUCUCCUCGUGCUCACUGUGAGCACUAAACCUGCCCUGCAUGGGUUUCUACCUUCAUCCAUCCCUGGGGAAAGGGCAGGUUUCCCUCCCCACUCAGAGGGGUGA